ACAGAGCCCGACUCCAUCUCAAAAAAAAAAAAAAGAAAGAAAGAAAGAAGGUACAAUGCCCCCCAGCUUUGUUCUUUCUCAAGAUUGCUCAGGUUAUUUAAAGUCGUUUAAGGUUACUUAAAUUUUUCAAUUGUGUUUUCUAUUAUUGUGAAAAAUGCCAGUAAUAUUUUGAUAGGGAUCACAUUGAAUUUGUAGAUUACUUUGGAUAAUAUUCUUUGACAAUAUUAGUUAUCCUAAUGGAAUAUGUUUCCAUUUAUUUGCGUCUACUUCAAUUUCUGUCAUUAAUAUCUUAUGGUAUUUAGUGUAUAAUACUAUAUAUUUUUUACGUCAUCUGUUAAAUUUAUUUAGAUUAACUUUCUUAUUUUUAUACUAUUGCAAAUGGAAACAGUUUCUUUUUUUGGAAAGUUUGUUUUUACUCUGUGGAAAUGCAAGAAAUAUUUGUAUGUGGUGCCAGGUGCAGUGGCUCAUUUCUGUGAUCCCAGCACUUUAAGAGGCCAAGACAGUUACAUCACUUGAGUUUGAGAUAAGCCUGGGCAAUCGAGUGAGACCCUGUCUCAAAAAAAAUCCCAACAACCAUCUAUAUUUUGAUUAUGUAUCCUGAUACUUUAAUGAAUACAUUUAUUAGUUCAAUCAAUUUUUCUGGUUUUACUCUAGGGUUUUAUAUAUAUGCAUGAUUAUAUUAUUCACAAAUGGUAACUUUUUUUUUUUUCAUUUCCAUGGUGGAGAGCUUUAUUCUCCUUUUCAUUAUCUAAUUAUUCUGAUACAAAUUUCCAGUAAUAUGCCAAGAUCUGCAGGCCUGCCUCCAGAGCCAUGGCUGAGCUUAUCUCCCUGCAGGUUUCUUGAUGGGAAGGACCACUUGUGUAGUAUAGCUGGGAGAGGAGUUUGUAAAAGGUUGCAGAACUGCUUCAGAAUUCUUAGUAAGACCAAGCUUGGUGCACCAUUUCCUUGUCUGUAGCCAUGUCUAUGGGCUCUUGAGUUGGCCAUCUGAGUGAAGGCCUUCUUAUUCCAAAUAACCCUUGUUGAUCUCUGGCUCCACUGAGGUUUCACAGAGCUAACCAUAGGCAAGCACCUUUCUAGUUCUGUUUUCUAUAUGCUUACUGCUUAAAAUAUUGUGUAAAAGUAGAAUCAUGCACUGUCA